rnacentral:rRNA from 1 species
CCCUUAGAUGUCCUGGGCCGCACGCGCGUUACACUGAUGUAUUCAACGAGCUUAUAACCUUGGCCGAGAGGCCUGGGCAAUCUUGUUAACGUGCAUCGUGAUAGGGAUGGAUUAUUGAAAUUAUUAAUCUUGAACGAGGAAUUCCUAGUAAACGCAGAUCAUCAAUCUGCAUUGAUUACGUCCCUGCCCUUUGUACACACCGCCCGUCGCACCUACCGAUUGGAUGGUCCGGUGAAGCCUCGGGAUUGUGGUUCUUGCCGCUUUAUUGUGGCGUGACCGCGAGAACUUGUCUAAACCUUAUCAUCUAGAGGAAGGUGAAGUCGUAACA